UGAGGUAGAAGGAUGAGAUUGCUUGAUUGGCCCCAGGGGCCAUAACCAGCAGCAGUAAAUGGAAAUCUCAGAGAGGCUGAUUUUUCUUAAACAAUAGUUUUGAUUUAAGGGGAAAAAAAUCCUAACAAAGCUAUUUAAAAAUAAAAUAGGGCAGCUAGAUGGUGCAGCGGAUAGAGUGUUAGACUUGGAGCAGAAAGGCUUAUUUUCCUGAGUUCAAAUCCAGCUUCAGACACUUAUUAGCUUAACAGUAAACCCUCAAGGACCUUUCAAUCACCCAAACAAGAACUUGGCUAAAGACAAUGGCUAGAUCACCUGUUACAUCUCUCCCACUGUGGUUAGUGCUUUUUUCCCAAGCAGGUGGCAGAGCCUAUCUUUCCUCCCCCUCCAAAAAUCUAUAUCAACACUUUGUGUUCUGCAGUUUAUGGGAAAUCCCAGGCCUGCCAUUCUGUGCUUCUUCCUAGAUUCAUCUGCCUACCUUAAUUAAAUACCCUUAUUAUAACUAAGGGAUUGUAUGAUUUUCUGUUUGUUUUUUUUUUCAGGAUGACAUAUUUGGAAGUCUUGCUGGGAUUUCAAAGUCUGCAGGACUUUGUGUAGACUGCAGGAAUUUGUUGUGUUUCAAUCCAGAUUCAAUUCAGCCAUCUUGGAGGACUCAUUCUAAACCCCUGGAGCCCAGCCAUCCCAUGUCCCAGUGGUUUCACACUAUAGCUAGAAUCUGGAGAUGGAGUCUACAGAAGACACUGGUGCAAGCACACCAUGCACCAGAUGGGAAGGACCUCAACUCUUAGAAGACUCCAAAUGUGGCUAAUGAAUUGUUUCAUUGCCUGGUUUGCAAACUGCCAGGAGCCAUCAAAGACCACGAUGUUUGACACGGUCCAUGUGGAAACUGGGGACUGCAAAGCAGGCCCCAGGAAGGAUGGAAACACCGCCUGAAACUCCCUUAAGUGACUUUUAUUAUUAACACCCCCUUAUUAUUGGAAUUGCAAUGAUUAUUAUUUUUACUUAGCCCCAGGAAAAAUAGAUAAGAGCAACAUGCCUGCAGGGUUAAUACAGAUGUCCCACUCUGUCCCCCCAGGAUAUUACCAGGAGAGCCCACUUACAAAAUUAAACCCCAGGAUUCUUAUAUACCCACUUAGAUAGGACCCUCUUUUCUGGGCAUAAAAAAAGUCUAUGCUCUGAAUUCCCCAACCUAUAUCUGGGUCAUGUUGAUUCUAUCCUCUGAUCCUACAUUUAGCAACAAUGUUUCAUUGACUAUCUCCCUAGGCUUCCUGUCUGUUGUUAUGUUCCAUGGAAACAUGUAUGUUGAGAAAGAAACUGUGUGCCAAGUAGAUGUGUGAUCAUGAGGAUAUAAAAUAAAGCCAGGCCUCAGCCAAGGUGGAACAGUUUAUCCUGUGAAACCUGUGCUUCGGAUUGAAUGUGAAAGCUAUGUCCCAUCCAUCAUUUCACUGACACUAUCCCAUCUCCAAGACCCCAUCCCCUGUGGGAGGCUGGCCCACCCCACAGCAACAAACUUUGAUAAACCUGUUUUGUGGUCUUUAGCUUUUGUAUUUCUAUAGCAUACUAUAUAUCUGUUCUUUAAAUGUUACUUUAACUCUGCAACUACUAUGGUAUUGUUAGACAAACUGCAUUUUCCUAGCAAGUGUGGCUUAGAUCUCUAUUUGUCAGAAGUAGAUUUUAACAGAAAUGUAAUAAGAUGCUAUUAAAAGCUGACUAAUGA